rnacentral:lncRNA from 1 species
AAAAGUGAGUCAGUGGAAUGGGAAAAGAUUAACUUCCCUUCUCAAAAUUAUUAUUGAUUCGUCUAAGAACAAAAAACAAACACAUUAUGAGCAGUUCUUUAGUGUAACAAUAGAGGAACAGAAACAUCCAAUACUUUUAGUCAACGUAAGGAUAAAAAUUCGUAACAAUAUAUACGUAGAACAAUGACAGCUGACACAACAGAAGAAGCUACGCCUAGAAGGUACUUUCGAAUGUGUAGCUCCUCUAACAAUGGAGUCAGCAACACAGUUUUCUGUAUAAUGAUGAAUUGAUCGUAUAGUGAUAUAAAAGGGAUCCAGAACAAAUCAAUGAGUUCAAAUGAGACAAAGCUAAAUAUGACGACCUAAAACGUAUUCGUGAGACAGGGCCUGUAAGGAGUGAGGAGUGUCCCUUUACUCAGACCUUCUUUCUUUCUUAUCUGAUACUCUAAUUUCUGUAGAAAAUAUGAACAACCAUCCUCUCCUUCUUCGUCAUGGAAUACUGACAACGGUUCUCAACUUACCCAACAAUAAAUUUAUAUUUUAAAGAAGACGACACAACCCAAUAGUACUUGGUGAUGGUUUUGUCGUCUUUUUUUAUAAAUUUUGAAUAUAUUUUCUAGAAAACAAAAACGUUUUAAUCAUAUAAUUUCUUAAAAACAAAAAUUUUAUAUAGACAAUUAUCCUUAAAUUAUCACGUAAUUUGAUAUAAAAAUACUUUAAUAUCUCUAUGAUUUAUAGUAUGAUUUACAUUUUGUAAAAAUGUAAUUUCAUUGGCAUCACAUUUAUUUGUUUGUUGUUUAUGGUUCGUUCAUUUCUGAUGUAUUGUAAUAUAUGUAUUAACCCUCAACUUCAAUUUGAUUCGGGAAUUCACAAAAACUCAUCAUGUAAUAUUUGCAUAUUUUAUAAACUAUACUGUGCCAAUAAGUAUAAAGUAUAUAUUUAAGGACACUUCCUACAAUAACUUUGUAUUUGAAACUAAACUAAGAUUAUAUGUAUGUAGAUGUUUAAAUGAAACUAAAAUAAAAGUCUAUAUUUUAAAAA